GACGAACGCUGGCGGCGUGCUUAACACAUGCAAGUCGAACGGAAAGGCCCUGCUUUUGUGGGGUGCUCGAGUGGCGAACGGGUGAGUAACACGUGAGUAACCUGCCCUUGACUUUGGGAUAACUUCAGGAAACUGGGGCUAAUACCGGAUAGGAGCUCCUGCUGCCUGGUGGGGGUUGGAAAGUUUCGGCGGUUGGGGAUGGACUCGCGGCUUAUCAGCUUGUUGGUGGGGUAGUGGCUUACCAAGGCUUUGACGGGUAGCCGGCCUGAGAGGGUGACCGGCCACAUUGGGACUGAGAUACGGCCCAGACUCCUACGGGAGGCAGCAGUGGGGAAUAUUGCGCAAUGGGCGGAAGCCUGAUGCAGCAACGCCGCGUGCGGGAUGACGGCCUUCGGGUUGUAAACCGCUUUCGCCUGUGACGAAGCGUGAGUGACGGUAAUGGGUAAAGAAGCACCGGCUAACUACGUG
rnacentral:rRNA from 1 species